ACCAGUGUAUGAUGAUUGUUUUACAAUGGGAAUCUCUCUGACAAAAUCUGUAUGGAGAUUGUAUCUUCUGAUACUGGU